rnacentral:rRNA from 1 species
GACGAACGCUGGCGGCGUGCUUAACACAUGCAAGUCGAGCGGAGAUAAGAAGCUUGCUUCUUAUCUUAGCGGCGGACGGGUGAGUAACGCGUGGGUAACUUGCCCUAUGCAGGGGGAUAACACAGAGAAAUUUGUGCUAAUACCGCAUAAAGUCAUAGAUGGGCAUCCAUAGAUGACCAAAGGAGAAAUCCGGGAUGGGAUAGACCCGCGUCCGAUUAGCUAGUUGGUGGGGUAACGGCUCACCAAGGCGGCGAUCGGUAGCCGAACUGAGAGGUUGAACGGCCACAUUGGGACUGAGACACGGCCCAGACUCCUACGGGAGGCAGCAGUGGGGAAUUUUGGACAAUGGGCGCAAGCCUGAUCCAGCCAUGCCGCGUGUCUGAAGAAGGCCUUCGGGUUGUAAAGGACUUUUGUCCGGGAGCAAAUGCUGGUGGCUAACAUCCACCGGAGCUGAGAGUACCGGAAGAAUAAGCACCGGCUAACUACGUGCCAGCCGCCGCAGUAAUAC